AUGGGAUGCCGUUUUGAAAAUAUGAAUUCACCUCUCACAAGUAGAACAAGUUCCCCCAAAAAUUCACAUGAAAGUACAUCAAUACUGUUAGCAAAAAUCAAAAAAACGUUUUUAAAAGGAGAGACCGACGAAGAAGAGGUUACGAUCUCUGGAGUGAGUCGUUUUUCACAGUGAUGGUGUUUUAUUCUGUGGUAAACCAGACCAGCAUGCUUUGCAGCUCAAGUGUUUGAUGAAAGGCAACGUAUCACUUCUCUGAGCGAGACCACCUCCUUAUUGUUCUCACAUUCAAAAGUUUAAAAAAAACACAAUUUUAGGACGUUUUGGAGAGAAUGUGCAUCUGAAAUAGGGCACAGGAAUGACACCCUAUUCCCUAUAUAGUCUACUACUUUUCACCAAGGUCCAUAGCACUAUGUAGGGAACAGGGUGCCAUUUCAUGCACAGCCUGAGUGUGUCUUGAAAAGGAAUAAUGAUUGGUCAGUUCUGGUACACCAG
rnacentral:lncRNA from 13 species